GCACCCACUAGGUGUAGUCCCCGAGAUCACCGUCGGAUGUUUGAUUCGGCGUGGGUCUUUAUCGUCUGUAUUUUCAUAGUUCUUUCACUCGGAGGAAUAGAUUGAACCAAGGGGGAUCCAGACCAGUGGGGGCACGCAGAGUACACCCACUGGGUGUAGUCUCCGAGACCGCGGUUGACUGCGAGCAGUCGGCUGGGGUCUGAGAAUCUCUCUUCUUCUUUUUUAUGUAUACAUACUUGUGCUGGGCAGACCAUGCCGAGUGGUAAACUGGACCAGUGGGGGCACGCCAAGUGCACCCACUGGGUGUAGCCCCCGAGAUUACUGUUGAAUGUUUGAUUCAGCAGUAGUCUUAGAACAUUUUCUCUUGUAGUUUUGUUGCGUUUAACUUUUGUCUCUGUCGACUGACGUGUCUUGCUGACCGCACAAAUCUUGUGAGCUCGGGGCCCAAUUUGAUGAGUUGGAGAAGAAACUGAUCAGUCUCAACCUCGAUCUGGAGCUGGCGAAGAAGAAUCUUCAGAAGGACAAGGAUGAUGUUGCUGCUAUGGGAGGUAAUAACUCGUCGAAUGUCCACCUUACAGUUUUUCCCUUUUAGUCUUUUGAACCGAGUGGCUCCACUUGAAUGGAUGUGCGCAGUGAAAACCCUCAACUCCAAGCUCGUCUGAAGAAUGUUAUUUCUUUUGUCAAAAUGAAGCAAGCUCUAGACCAGAAGGACCUUGACCUUGCUGCAGCACAGAGGAAGGCACGAGAGAAAACAGAGCUUGCCGACAAGAAGCUGGCUUCAGUCAGCAAGUUAGAAGAGGAAAAUUCCCAACUGAAGACUGUUGCUACCGAGCCCAACAAAGAAGUUGCAAAGCUGAAGAAGGACAAGGAGACUCUGACCGACAAGGUUGGAGAUCUACUCAAAACAGAGGUGAACUGGAGGCUUAACUAGGAAGACUUGCUUCGAAGAUGCUCCUGAAGCUUGAAACUGUUGACUCAUCAUAUAACUGCCGACUCACCAUUUUUCCGAGUGUGCAGAAUUCUGUCAAGACUUCGAGGUAGAGACUGGGCGGAUCAAGACAGAUCUAGACCCCAUAAACUCUCCCGUCAAGGAUGAUGUUGCGAUCAACGUGCUACCAUUGGACUCACGUCUUGACAGUGUUGUGGAUUACCUUGCUCGACUGAAAGCGGCGGCAUCACGGAUUGACAUAGAGCCCUGGCCCCGAGUGGAGUUCCAGAAUGAUCUCAAGUCCCUGAUGACUUGACUCAAAGAAAUCCCUGGUCGAGUGCAAGAUGGAAGAAGUCGUCCGCUCGCUGUGGCGCUGAUGUGGCUCUGUCCUUGGUCUGAGUCCAUUGCAAGGAGGUCAAAGAAGACAAGCUGGCGGCUCUCAAGGUUUCCAACACCAAGAAGCUCCAAUUCUAGUCCUUCAUGGAGACCUUCAUCAACGCUGCCACACGCAUUGCAGACGACAUCGACCUUGACAGCUCUGUCGGGCUAGCAAGGCCUCCUCCUGCUGAGUGAACAAACUUUAUGCCUCACCUUUAUUUGCCUCGGAAUGCCAGGUGAUUUUGUAACUGUUAAACUCUUUCAGGCCUGAUGCCUGAGUACUUCUGCCCGUGGUUCUGAACUUUGCUGGGUUUAUCAAAACUUGGUUUUUCCUUGAAUAUGGUGGCUUUGCCUUUACCACUUUUAGAUCUUUUUUAACUGCAAGUGGAACUUGACUUCUCACUCGGAACGGACAUUGUACUUGUGACGCAGCUCCGACGAUGUGCUCGAGUGGCACCUCGUCGUCCUUGCGGAUCAGGAUGGAGCUGACGUUGUACUUGUGAUGAAGCUCUGACGACGUGCUAGAGUGGCACCUCGUCGUCCUUGCGGAUUAAGAUGGAGCGGACGUUGUACUUGUGAUGCAGCUCAGAGGAUCUUUGCGACUUGGGCGAGUACGGGGUCGCAACUAGGCCUCUGAGUGGGAGGAUUUCUCUCCACUCAGAAUAGUUUUUUUAACUUAGGUGAUUACGGGGUCACAGCUAAGCCUCUGAGUGGGAGGAUUGCUCUCCACUUGGAAUGGUUUUUUAACUUAGGCGAGUACGGGGUCGCGGCUAAGCCCCCGAGUGGGAGGAUUGCUCUUCACUCGGAAUGGUUUUUUAACUUAGGCGAGUAUGGGGUCGUAGCUAAGCCCCCGAGUGGGAGGAUUGCUCUCCACUCGGAAUGGUUUUUUAACUUAGGCGAGUACGGGGUCGCAGCUAAUCCCCCGAGUGGGAGGAUUGCUCUCCACUCGGAAUGGUUUUUUAACUUAGGCGAGUACGGGGUCGCAGCUAAACCCUCAAGUGGGAGGAUUGUUGUCGGUGUCAAAACCGGCGGAUCUCGGGUAGGGGGUCCCAAACUGUGCCUCUAGGCGGAUGGUAACAGGAAACAAGGGACACGAUGUUUUUACCCAGGUUCGGGCCCUCUCGAUGGAGGUAAAACCCUACUCCUGCUUGAUUAAUAUUGAUGAUAUGGGUAGUACAAGAGUUGAUCUACCACGAGAUCAGAGAGGCUAAACCCUAGAAGCUAGCCUAUGGUAUGAUUGUUGUUCGUCCUACAGACUAAAACUCUCCGGUUUAUAUAGACACUGGAGAGGGCUAGGGUUACAUAGAGUCGGUUACAAUGGGAGGAGAUCUUCAUAUCAUAUCGCCAAGCUUGCCUUCCACGCCAAGGAAAGUCCUAUCCGGACACGGGACGAAGUCUUCAAUCUUGUAUCUAUAUAGUCCGGGAGUCCGGCCAAAGGUCAUAGUCCGGCCAUCCGGACACCCCCUAAUCCAGGACUCCCUCAGUAGCCCCCGAACCAGGCUUCAAUGACGGUAAGUCCGGCACGCAAGUUUAUCUUCGGCAUUGCAAGGCGGGUUCUUCUCCAAAUUCCAUGUACCUGUCGGAUAGUGUCCGGCUUCUAAUGCGUGUUGCUCUCCUUGGCUUCUGUGCCAAAUAAUGACCAUCUUCCACUUGUCAAAUGAAUGCGAAAAGCUAGGGUUUUUUCGUUUACCCCCCCCCCCCACCGGCCGCGUAAAUGAGCCGCUCAUAAAAGAGACGGGGAUUUAGAUCCAAUUCACACCACCUUCCCUCCGCGAGUAUUCACCAAAGCGCUUUCGACAGAGAUCCAUUACACCAUGGCCGGCCGAAGCAGCUCCUCUCGCCUCUCCAGCCAUCGGCCCGGAGACUGGGAGUGGUGUUCCAUCCCGUAUAGCAAGCUAGUAGUGCUUCAAUCCAAGGGGCUCCUCCCCCCAGCAUAUAUUGUCCCAAUUCGAUCCGGGAUUGCCUCCUAUAGCGGCGGAGAGCAGGCGGAGAGCGUCCCCAAUCCCUCUCAAGGAGAGCGGGUAUGCCUAGUUCCUUAUUUAAUAAGAGGACUCGGAUUUCCAAUUCAUCCGUUUCUCCGAGGUCUACUGGAGUUCUACGGCCUCCAGCUACACAACCUCACGCCCGCCUCCAUACUGCAUGUUGCGGGCUUCGAGGCCCUUUGCAAGCUGUUCUUGGGCAUCGAGGCCCAUUUCGCGUUGUGGAAGAGGUUGUUCUGCCUUGUGCCUCGCUCUCAGAAGGGGUCAAUUUAUCAAGUGGGUGGAGCCGAACUACGGUGCAUCGUCGGGACUGGAUAUCUAUCCGGUACCCCAAAGAAGGCGUCCGAGGACUGGCCUUCAGAAAGGUUUUAUAUGGAUGACGUCCCCCUGUCGGACCCUGUACAGAUCGGCCUCCCUGAAUUUAAUAACGCUCCGUUGAAGAAACGCCUGAGCUGGCGCCCACAGAACCCUCAGAGGGAAACUGACAAAGACAUUCUUUACCUGAUGAGCCGGAUAAGAUUGUUGGCUCUUUCCGGAUUGACCAUGAUCGAGGUCAUGUCCACAUGCAUUACGCGGGGGGUGCAGCCGGUUCAGUACAGAGGCCACCCCAUGUGGGAUUUCAAAGGGGAGGAUGACGCCACCCGGUGCGGUCGCAAGGGGCCGGAUUCGGCUGCCACUCUAACGAAGAUCUUAUCCGCUUUGUACAAGGGAGAAGAAGAGGAAUUCCUCCGGGUCAACCCACGGGGCGGAUUCUCCAUGUACAGUCCUCCAAGCUGGGUGAGCGAACAUUUUCACCUGCCCACCUAUUUUCAAAUUCCCAUAAUUGAGUACUCAGUCUAGUAAUUCUAACGCAGGAGCUGCACCAGACUGUGAAGGAGAUAAGCAGCCCUCCUCCACAACCCAGGGACCCGGAGCGGUCCCUCGAUCCAGACUCCCAAGAGGACCCGGACUUAUAUGUGGAGAUAAUUGAUGGGGUGUUUCAUCAAUUGAGUAAGGACAAUACCUUAGUGGCCAUUACGGCCGACUAUCCUGGACUGCUUCCGGCCUCAAAGGUAACUGAGACCAAAGUCCCAGUACCUUCAAGAGGAUCCAUCCGUGCCUUAUUUUGAAUGUCGUAAACCAGUAAUGUUUCGUUUUGCAAGGGAAAUCCUUGAGGCGGAGGGCCGAGCCCGCGGUGGGCAGCCAACAAGGGCCGCUGAAGCCAGGCAGGCUAAAAAGAAGCGCGGACCAGAUCGAGAUUCCGGCGCAACGGUACGGCGUGCAAUUUUAACGCCUAGGGUUUAUGCCCUCAUGUCACACAAAUGCUCAUGCUCUUCUCAGGAAGAAGAGCGCCCGCCGGACUAUAUCCACCGGCCAGGCUUCAAGGCCGGGUCCGGAAGCGGAGGCGAACACGGGGCGCGCAUCGGACGUUCCUCUGACAGAGGACGCAGACGGGCUAUCUGCCACCAAUUCAGGGGUGGAGAGUGCCAUGAACCACAUGCGUCGCCGGACUGUUCUUCGGGACGCAUGCUUUUCCCCAGAGGCGUUGGACGCCUUUAAUAAGGGAGAUGCGUACCUCCGUGCCGCUCAAAAUGGUCUAGCCAGAGCCACAGAGCAGUAUGUGAAAGACAUACGGGUGAGUAAAUCUGAUGGUUAUAUAUGUCAGUAGCCCCCGAGACUUGAAACAGUUAAGAUAACUGAUUUAAGGAUCAUAUGUUAUGCAGGAUCUUACAAAAAAGAACACGCAACUAUCCCAGGAGCUGGAAGAGUGCAAGGCCCAACUCGAGGCCGCACUGGCCGCUUCAGAGAGUGCCAAGGGGACCCCCUCAGGUAAUAUAUGCUUCGAAAGAUAAUUCCGUUGUGAAGUGCGGCAUGUGUGCAAUUCUGACAAUAACAGUGCAGAUGGGGCCGGAGUGAAUCCGGACAAGCAACAACUCCUACGCCAACUAAAGGCCGGCGAGAGCGUGCUGACGAGGGUGAGGCAAGAGAAGAACAAACUUCAAGACGCCAAUCCCCAGCUGGGCGAGGAACUAAAGGAUGUUCGUGCUCAGCUGUCUGAUUCCGUAAAGGAGAAUCGGUGACUUCGACGCGGCAUUUUUAGUAAGUGCUUGAACGAAUCUUCGAAAAAAAGAGUUUGGCGAGGAAGUCGAUUGACAUAGCUAUGUAUGUAGUUAUGCUGAUAGGUCGUCCUGCGGAGGAAAUGCCCGGUUCAGUGGGACCUUCUUCCCGAGCUAUUGCAACUGCACAAACGAGUUCGGCAGGCGAUGCAAGGCGUCGUCCAGGCUAUGUGGCCAUCCCUCUCCAUGCCCGAAGGCCUUGAAGAGCUUGCAGAGAAGCUGAAGGGAGUGCGGCAGCGCUUCCGGUUAUGGAAGAUAUUAGCCUGCCGUCAAGGUGCCAGGGAGGCUUGGGCCAUGGUGAAGACUCGGUACACAAAGGAAGACCCGAACCACAUGGCCAAGAUCGGCCCUGUGGGGCCCGAUGGGAAGGAGAUCCCUGUUAGUUUGGUGUAUGGCCAGGUAGAGCUGCCUGCCAAGUAUUUUCAACAAGACUAUAAAUUAGACAGCCUAUUGGAUGGUAUUGAAGAAGAAUAUACCUAGUCAAAUUGACUAUGUAAUUUAAAAAGACAUGUAAAAUGCCUUCUAGCCGGAUUGUAGAUCGUUUGUCAUUGCGGACCUUUUCGCUUCAACCUCUGGACCCGAUAGUCCGGAGUGUGUCCGAAUACCCUCUCGGUUAUGUAAGAACCGGGGCAUGCAUGGAGACCAGGCGUAGGGGUCAUAAGUGCUUUAGCAGACAAGUGCCCAACUAGUUAUGUUAUAUUACAUGGUUAGUAAGAAACAUCUUCCAGGGAGAAUAGUUCCGUUAGGGGUUCCUUUCCCUAGGAGGGCAUGCCCUAAAGUGCAUGUCCGGACUGCGAAAAGAAAGCAGAAAAGCAUCUGGGGGCAGAUAAAUAGACAAAUGAAAAAAUCAUCUUUUAAUUCACCGACCGAAUAUUCCCUUAAUAACGCUAGCUUUCGGCUUCACCCAGUCUGAGGUACAUAUCCGGCUGACCCGGUAGUAACAAUCGCAGAGGUGCUCCCUUUACCACCUAGCCGAACAAACGGGAACGUAGGGGUAAGCACAGGAGCCAGGCAACGCAGCUUGGCCAAAACUUAAGUCAUAUCGAUGCAUAUAAUGGUGUAUAAAAGGUUCAUGCGAAAGUGUCACACAUGUUUUGGGCAUGAGGCCCAUUUAUAUAAACUUCUGAUAAAGAAGCCCCCGGGUAUAAUGAGCGCGGGUGGCGCGUCAAGUAUGUGCGAACAACACGCAGGCAAGCCCCUAAAGGCUUGGGAGAAAGAAGGGAGGGAGAAGGAGAGAAAUACCGGGCAGCUAAUUUGAAAUAAAUAAUUAAAAAAAGGGACAGAGGAAGGAGACGAACACAGAGUCGGGUGCUAUGCGUAGAAUCUUUGUAGGCGUGCUGCGUUCCAUGGGUUCGGCUCGAGUCGGUUGUCCGAUGCGUUUCGCAGAUGGUAUGCUCCACUAGUCAGGACUUGGUCGAUUAUGAAGGGACCCUCCCAUUUGGACUUUAGUUUGUCCUUUUUCUUGUCCGGCAGGCGUAGAACUAGUUCACCAACGUUAUAAGUUUUGGCCCAUACUUCUCUGCUUUGAUAUCUUCGAGCCUGCUGUUGAUAGAAUGCGGAACGGGCUUUUGCCACGUCGCGCUCCUCCUCCAAUGCGUCCAAGUUGUCCUGCCGAUCGAGCUCGGCUUCUCUUUCUUCGUACAUGCGCACGCGAGGUGAGUCAUGAAUUAUGUCGCAGGGCAGGACUGCCUCCGCGUCGUAUACCAUAAAAAUGGUGUGAAUCCGGUAGUGCGAUUCGGCAUGGUCCGCAGCCCCCAGAGUACGGAGUCAAGCUCCUCUACCCAGUGCGUGUUAUAUUCCUUUAGGGAUCGCACUAGUCUGGGUUUGAUGCUGCUCAUGAUGAUAACGUUGGAUCGCUUGACCUGACCGUUAGUUUGUGGGUGAUAGACUGAAGCGUAGUCGAGCUUGAUGCCCAUGUUUUUGCACCAAAAUUUAACUUCGUCGGCCGUAAAGUUUGUGCCGUUGUCAGUUAUGAUGUUGUGGGGGAUGCCGUAAUGGUGUACAACCCCGGAUAUGAAGUCUAUCACCGGUCCGGAUUCGGCCGUCUUUACAGGCUUGGCCUCUAUCCAUUUGGUGAAUUUGUCCACCAUGACCAGUAGAUAUUUUUGCUUGUGGUUUCCUCCUUUAAGGGGUCCAACCAUGUCAAGCCCCCAGACCGCAAAAGGCCAGGUAAUGGGUAUGGUUUGUAGGGCGGUAGGCGGCAUGUGGCUUUGAUUAGCGAACAAUUGGCAACCGACGCAUCGCUGCGCUAAGUCCUGAGCGUAUGCCCGGGCCGUCGGCCAAUAAAAUCUGGUACGGAAGGCCUUGCUUACAAGUGCGCGGGCUGCGGCGUGGUGUCCGCCGAGUCCGGCGUGAAUUUCCGCCAGAAGGUUCCGCCCUUCUUCUUCGGAGAUACACCUUUGCAGGACUCCGGUGGUGCUUUUCUUAUAAAGCUCUCCUUUGUGGACUUUAUAGGCUUUAGAUCACCGCAAUAUGCAGCGUGCCUCAUUUUGGUCCUCGGGGAGUUCCUGCCUAGUUAAGUAGGCUAAGAAUGGUUCUGUCCACGGGGCAAUUACUGCCAUUAUUACGUGGGCUGAGGGUGUGACUUCAUUGAUGGAGUCUUCCGUUGUGUCAGGGUGUUCGGGGUCAGGUGAUGUGGCCUGGUCUGGAUUGUUAAUUCUGGAUUCCCCUUCCCACUGUACGGAUGGCUUGAAUAGCCUUUCCAGGAAAAUGUUGGGGGGGACUGCGUCAUGCUUUGCGCCGAUGCAUGCUAGGACGUCCGCUGCCUGAUUAUUUUCCCGGGCUAUAUGGUGGAAUUCCAGCCCUUCGAACCGAGCUGACAUAUUUAGGACGGCGUUGCGGUAAGCUGCCAUUUUCGGAUCUUUGGCAUCAAAGUCUUUGUUUAUUUGGGAUAUCACGAGGUUCGAAUCCCCCCGCACCUCUAGGCGUUGAAUGCCCAUGGAGACUGCCAUCCGGAGGCCAUGUAGCAGGGCCUCGUAUUCGGCUGCAUUGUUGGAGUCCGUAUACAUUAUCUGGAGUAUAUAUUGAAAUGUAUCUCCUGUUGGGGACGUCAAGACGACGCCAGCCCCCAGACCCGCCAGCAUUUUGGAGCCGUCAAAGUGCAUGGUCCAGUUGGAAUAUGUGUCGUACUCUUUAGGGAGUUCGGCUUUGGUCCAUUCAGCGACAAAGUUGGCCAAGGCUUGCGACUUGAUGGCUCGCCGUGGCUUAUAUGUUAUGUCGAACGGGAGGAGCUCAAUGGCCCAUUUGGCAAUCCGGCCUGUUGCGUCGCGGUUGUUUAUGAUAUCAUUAAGAGGUACUUCGGAGGCUACUGUUAUCGAACACUCUUGAAAGUAGUGUCGUAGCUUCCGGGAUACCAUGAACACUGCGUAUGCUAUUUUUUGGUAAUGCGGGUACGGGGACUUGCUUGGAGUGAGGACAGUGGACACGUAGUACACUAGUUUCUGAACAGGGAAUUUGUGUCCGUCCGUUUCUCAUUCGACGACGAGGACUGCGCUUACAACUUGGUGAGUUGCCACGAUGUAUAACAACAUUGGUUCACCGAUGUUCGGCGCGGCAAGGACAGGGUUUGUUGCCAGUAUGGCUUUUAUUUCUUCGAGUCUGGCCGUGGCGGCACCCGUCCACUCGAAGUGUUCGGUGUGCCGGAGGAGGCGGUAAAGGGGUAAUGCCUUUCCCCCCAAGCGGGAGAUGAAGCGUCUUAGAGCCGCCACGCAUCCAGUCAAUUUUUGUAUUUGCUUGAGAUCUUUUGGAAUAUCCAAUUGUGACAGAGCUCGGAUCUUGGCUGGGUUUGCUUCAAUUCCUCUACCGGAUACAAUGAAGCCCAAGAGCUUUCCGACUGGUACGCCGAAAACGCAUUUUUUCGGGUUGAGCCUAAUGUCAUAUGUUCGGAGGUUAUCGAACAUGAGCCUCAAGUCGCCUAUUAGAGUUUCGACGUGUUUGGUUUUGACGACCACGUCAUCCACGUACGCUUCAACUGUUUUGCCGAUCUGGUUGGCCAGACAUGUCUGAAUCAUGCGCUGAUAUGUUGCGCCGGCAUUUUUGAGCCCGAAGGGCAUCGUGUUAAAGCAGAAUGGGCCGUAUGGGGUGAUGAAUGCCGUUGCGGCUUGGUCUGACUCUGCCAUCUUGAUUUGGUGGUAGCCAGAGUAUGCAUCGAGGAAACACAAUGAAUCGUGUCCUGCAGUGGCAUCGAUGAUUUGAUCAAUGCGGGGGAGGGGGAAGGGAUCCUUUGGGCAGGCCUUAUUUAGGUCUUUGAAAUCGACGCAUAGGCGCCAGGAUUUGUCCUUCUUUGGUACCAUCACCAGGUUUGCUAGCCAGUCCGGAUGUUUUAUAUCUCUGAUGAAUCCGGCUUCCAGUAGUUUUGCUAGCUCCUCUCCCAUGGCUUGUCUCUUAGGUUCAGAGAAACGCCGAAGAGUCUGCUUAACGGGCUUGAAUCCUAUUAGGAUGUUCAAGUUGUGCUCGGCCAGCCUGCGUGGGAUUCCUGGCAUGUCUGAAGGGUGCCAGGCAAAAAUGUCCCAAUUUUCUCGUAGCAAUUCUCUGAGUGCGGCUUCUACAUCAGGUUUUAGUUGUGCCCCGAUGGAGGCCGUUUUUUGUAGUGUCCGUUGGAUGGACUUGGAACUUGACUAUUUCGUCUGUCGGCUUGAAGGAGGUGGACUUGGAUCUUUUGUCGAGUAUCACGUCGUCCCUGUCCACUGUGGAGCGCAACACAGUUAGUUCCUCGACCGCUAGGGCUUCGGAUAAUGCCUCGAGGGCCAGUGCGGCUGUCUUCUUUUCGGCGCGGAGCGCUGUGUCCGGAUCACUAGGAAGAGUGAUGAUUCCGUUGGGUCCGGGCAUUUUGAGCUUCAUGUACCCGUAAUGGGGUAUAGCUUGAAAAUUGUGAAUGCUUCUCGCCCUAACAAAGCGUGGUAUCCGCUGCUGAACGGGGCCACUUGAAAUGUGACCUCCUCGGAUCUAUAAUUAUCCGGCGUGCCGAACACCACAUCCAGUGUGAUUUUCCGUGAACAGGACGCUUCCCGGCUGGGGAUUAUUCCUCUAAAGGUUGUGUUGCUUCGCUCAAUGCGGCUCCAGUCUAUUUCCAUUUUUCGCAGGGUUUCCUUGUAGAUGAGGUUUAGUCCGCUGCCACCGUCCAUGAGUACCUUUGUAAGCCGGAAGCCAUCCACUAUCGGACUGAGGACAAGUGCAGCUGGUGCUCGGGCUGUCCGGAAUUUAGGUUCGUCACUGGCAUUAAAGGUAAUAGCCGUGUCACUCCCUGGGUUUAUUGUUGCUACUUGGUAGACUUCGGUAAGGCUGCGGAGCGUUCGUUUCCUCGCAUUGUUUGAUGCGAAAGUCUUGAAGACUGUUGACACCGUACUGGCGUUUCUGGGGUGGUGUUCUACGGAUUCUGGGUUUAGAAGCUCCUCGGCGCUUCUGGCCACCUGCCGGAGUAUCCUACAUGCUCUAAGGCUAUGGAUUGGUGUGACUUCCUCUGUACCAUGAAUUUUACAGGGUCCAUUGAGCCAUCCCUCAAGUACGGUUCCAUACCCUAUAGAGGGUUUUUGUUUUUUGCUGUUUGGCCCAGGUGCUUGGCGAUAAUGCGCCCUUUUGUUCCGAACUGAGAUUAUAUUCGGGGUCAUAUUGUCCCAGAAUUUUGUUUCGUUUUUCCGAACGCUUUCUGUCGCACAGUACUUUCGUACUAUGGAUGUCAAGUCGGCGGAGCGUGUAAUUUCGCGGCGACUUAUGGCGUUGAAGAUUCCGAUGCCGGUGCAGUUGUUACAGAAGAAUGAAAUUGCGUCCUUCUCACGGCAGUCCUUUAUCCUGUUCAUAACCAGGAGGAAUCUGGCCCAGUAGUGGUGUACUGUUUCCCUGGGCUCUUGCCAUAUUUGGGAUAGAUCCCUUAUAUUUGGGUGGGCGGGUGGAUUUAAAUCCGGAACCUCGCCUGAUCUAAGACUCGGGGGCCAAGAAAUUUCCGAAUUCGGAAGCUUGUUUUCUUGGAUGUUGUUCAAUGAAUCAGGCCUGCUGCCUGACUUUAGGUUCAGGGCUUGGGCGACGUCCUCCCCUCCAUGGAUGUCCGGCUUGGAGGGGUCAGGAAUCCGGACACAUCUGGUCCUUAGGAUGGGCGAAGAUUCGCCGCAUUGUUCUUCCACCACUUCAACAUGGUGGGUGACCUGGGGAGAGUUGAUCUCUCUCUGAUCGGGUUUAAGCCCAAUCUGGCCGUAAUCUGUAGCGACUCCCAGGAUGGCGAUGCAAUCCAAGAGCUCGUUUAGGGAAGAGAGCUCCAUCGGAUCUAACUGCUCGGCAAGUUCCGAGCUGAUCUGGAGAUUGCUUUCGAUGACCCGAGAGGUCAGCGCCGGCGCGGCGGCCGAAUAGGAGGUCAUCAAAAAACUGCCUAGCCGGAGAGUUUGGCCGACAGCCAAAGCUCCUUUAGCAACAGCGCUGUCUUUAGAGACGGGGUGCGGCAUCCUUCCUGAUGGUGACGACACAGAGGAACUCUCAAUGAAAGCACCAAUGUCGGUGUCAAAACCGGCUGAUCUCGGGUAGGGGGUCCCGAACUGUGCGUCUAGGCGGAUGGUAACAGGAGACAAGGGACAUGAUGUUUUUACCCAGGUUUGGGCCCUCUCGAUGGAGGUAAAACCCUACUCAUGCUUGAUUAAUAUUGAUGAUAUGGGUAGUACAAGAGUUGAUCUACCACGAGAUCAAAGAGGCUAAACCCUAGAAGCUAGCCUAUGGUAUGAUUGUUGUGCGUCCUACGGACUAAAACUCUCCGGUUUAUAUAGACACCGGAGAGGGCUAGGGUUACAUAGAGUCGGUUACAAUGGGAGGAGAUCUUCAUAUCAUAUCGCCAAGCUUGCCUUCCACGCCAAGGAAAGUCCUAUCCGGACACGGGACGAAGUCUUCAAUCUUGUAUCUUCAUAGUCCGGGAGUCCGGCCAUCCGGACACCCCCUAAUCCAGGACUCCCUCAAUUGCUCUCCACUCGGAAUGGUUUUUUAACUUAAGCCAGUACAGGGUUGCAGCUAAGCCUCCGAGUGAGAGGGUUGCUCUUCACUCGGAGUGGUUUUGAAACUUAGGUGAAUCAGGUUCACGACUAACCUCCGAGUGAGAGGGUUGCUCUUCACUCGGAGUGGUUUUGAAAGUUAGGCGAAUCAGGUUUGCUGCUAAGCCAACCACUGGGGGAUUUGAACACAUGUGUUUAUGGGAAAACAAUCAUUAAGAUACUACAAAAAUCUUGUCUUUGAUAAGCAAACUGAAGGAUUCUUAUUACAACUCGUCGAUCCGAGUGGUUUAGGUAUAGAAACGGCGGAGCGGCUCCGCAUUCCACGAGUGUGGCUCAUCCACUUCCUUGGCUAUGUUGUAGAGGUGAUAUGCCCCGUUGUGAAGCACCUUGGUGAUGAUGAAGGGACCUUCCCAGGCCAGAGUGAGCUUGUGAGGUCUUUUCUGGUGCACUGGGAGCACAAGGUCUCCUUCCUGAAAUGCUCGACCUUUGACAUUACAGGCAUGGAAUCAACCCAGGUCUUGUUGAUAGAUGGUCGACCGGAUCAGAGCCAUCUCUCGUUCCUCCUCUAGGAGAUCAACUGCAUCUUGUCGUGCAUGUUCUGCUUCAGCUUCUGAGAAGAGUUCCACUCAGGGAGCAUUGUGCAGCAAGUCACUCGGAAGCACAGCUUCAUCACCAUACACCAAGAAAAAAGGAGUUUCCUUAGUCGACCGAUUCGGGGUUAUUCUCAGUCCCCAUAAGAAAAAUGGCAAUUCCGUCACCCAGGCUCCAGCAGCGUGCUUGAGGUUGCGCAUCAAUCGAGGUUUCAACCCUUGAAGAAUCAAACCAUUUGCCCUUUCUGCUUGCCCAUUCGAAUGCGGGUGCGCAACAGAUGCGUAAUCGCCCCAAGUGCCCUGAGAAGCACAAAACGCCUUGAACUCAUCAGAAUCAAAGUUGGUGCUAUUAUUUGUGAUGAUGUUGGGAGGGACCCCAUAUCUGAAUAUCAUCUCUCGUAUGAAACUGAUGGCAGUGCUUGAGUCAAGGUUCUUGAUAGGCUUGGCUUUGAUCCAUUUGGUGAAUUUGUCGACUGCUACAAGCAAAUGAGUGAAACCACUUCUGUCGGUCCUGAAGGGUCCAACCAUAUCCAACCCCCAGACUGCAAACGGCCAGAUGAGUGGAAUAGUCUUCAAGGCAGAUGCAGGCUUGUGGGACAUGUUUGAGUAGAACUGGCAUCCUUCACACUUGUCGACUAUAUCUUUUGCCAUCUCAUUUGCACGCGUACAAUAGAAUCCCGGUCGGUAUGCUUUGGCCACGAUGGUUCGAGAGGAUUCAUGGUGACCACAGGUCCCCGAGUAAAUCUCGUUUAAAAUCAUUCGACCUUUUUCUAGGGUGAUGCAACAUUGAGCCACACCUGUGACACUUUCUAUGUAAAGCUGCCCUUUUAUCACGGUGAAAGCCUUCGAUCGAUGGAUGAUCUGGCGGGCCUCAUCCUCAUCUUCUGGAGUUCCUGCCUGAGCAGGUACGCGAUAUAUGGCACCGUCCUGUCGGGCAUGAUCACUAAAACUUCCAUGACCAAGUCGACUACAGCUAGGACCUCAAUCUCAGUCGGAUUGGUUAAACUUAUAGGUUGCGGGGGCUCUUCCUUGAAGGGAUCUUCUUGUGCUAACGGGGUGUGGAGAUGCUCCAAGAACACAUUACUGGGAAUAGGCUUCCGCGUGGAACCUAUAUUCGCUAGAUCAACAGCAGCUUGAUUCUUGAUUCGAGGUAUAUGGUGGAGCUUUAACCCUUUAAACUUCUUCUCUAUCUUUCUUACUACAUUGCAAUAACCGCUCAUUGCUGGACUCCUGAUGUCCCAUUCCUUCAUUACUUGAUUAACCACUAAGUCUGAGUCGCCGUAGACCAUCAAGCGUCGGACACUGAGUGAAAUGUCCAUAUGUAACCCAUACAAUAGUGCCUCAUACUCAGCUUCAUUAUUUGAAGAAUCAAAGUGGAUCUGGAGGACAUAGUUGAGCUUGUCGCCUCUUGGGGACACCAAAACCACCCCUGCACCAGAGCCAUUAAACAUCUUGGACCCAUCAAGGGAACAUAUUCCAAUGCUCCGACUGAAUCUGAGUCGGUUGUUGCUAUUCAAUCCACUCUGCGAGGAAAUCUGCUAUUGCUUGGAACUUGAUGGCUUUCUUUGCCUCAAACUUGAUAUCUAACGGAAGGAGUUCGAUCGCCCAUUUUGCCACUCGACCAGUUGCGUCCCUAUUAUUCAGAAUUUCUAAUAAUGGAGCGUCGCUGACAACUAAAACCGAGUGAUCUGAGAAGUAGUGUGCACCUUUCUUCAUGGUCAAGUAAAUUCCAUAAACAAGCUUCUGAUAAUGAGGAUAUAUCUGCUUGGACGGAGUCAAGACUUCAGAAAUGUAAUAUACUGGGUGCUGAACUUUGUAGGCUUUGCCUUCUUCUUCCCGCUCGACCGUGAGCAUUGUGCUGACAACCUAUCCAGUGGCAGCGAUGUAAAGCAAUAAAGGCCCCUUGCUGAUUGGAGCGGCAAGCACCGGCUGGGUGGAAAGCAGGCUUUGAGCUCUUCAAAUGCUACUUCAGCUUCAUCAUUCCACUCGAACUUGUCAGACUUCUUCAUCAGUCGGUAAAGAUGUAAUGCCUUUUCACAGAGGCGUGAAAUGAAUCGACUCAAUGCAGCCAAACAACCAGUAAGCUUCUGAACAUCGUGCACACGCACAGGGCGUUUCAUUUGGAGGAUUGUACCAACUUUCUCUGGGUUUGCAUCGAUUCCUUGUUCGGAAACGAGGAAACCGAGUAACUUUCCACCUGGGACUCCUAAUGUGCACUUUGAUGGAUUGAGCUUGAUAUCAUAUCUUUUUAAGUUGGCAAAGGUUUCAGGGAGGUCUGUCCAUAGGUCGGAACCUUUGCGUGACUUGACCACUAUGUCAUCCAUGUAUGCUUCCACAUUCCGACUGAUUUGAGUGAGCAUGCACUUCUGAAUCAUGCGCAUGAAUGUGGCACCAGCAUUCUUGAGGCCAAAGGGCAUAGUAGCAUAGCAAAAACACCCGAAUGGGGUGAUGAAAGAUGUUUUUAUCUCAUCGGGUCCAUACAGUCGGAUCUGAUGGUACCCGGAAUAAGCAUCCAGAAAGGACAAGCACUCACACCCCGCAAUUGAGUCGACUAUCUGGUCGAUGCAAGGCAGAGGAAAAUGAUCUUUUGGGCAGGCCCGAUUGAUAUGCUUGAAAUUAAUACACAUUCGAAGUAACUUAUCUUUCUUGGGGACCAUAACAACAUUGGCAAGCCACUCAGAGUGGUAUAUCUCACGGAUGAACUCAGGAGCCAGAAGCCGAGCCACCUCCUCACCAAUUGCCUUCCUCUUCUCCUCGGCGGACCGACGGAGAUGCUCUUUAACGGGUUUUGUUUUCGGGCCGACUCGCAAACGGUGCUCAACCAGUCCCCUGGGUACACCUGGCCUGUUAGAUGGUUUCCAUGCAAAGAUGUCCCAUUUCUCACGGAGUAACAGGAUGAGCACUUCUUCCUAUUUGCCAUCGAGUAUUGUUGAGAUAUGAGUCGGAGCGGCACUGGAAUCGGUCGGGUGAAUGUGAACUGGCUUUGUUUCACCAGAUGACUGAAAUGCAGACUCUGAAGCAGGCCUAUUGGCACACAACAAAUCACUCAGAUCUGCAUUCUUUUGGAAUUCUUGCAUUUCUACUGCCGCCAUCUGUUCAUCGGUGAUCUUUGAGCCUUUCUGGAGGCAAUCUUCUGCUCUCUGCCGAUUUGCAAUGACUGUGAUCACGCCUUUGGGGCCAGGCAUCUUCAACUUGAGGUAUAUGUAACACGGUCGAGCCAUGAAACAAGCAUAAGGAGGUCUGCCUAGAAUGACAUGAUAGGCACUACCAAAAUCCGCCACCUCAAACCUCAACUUUUCCUUGCGGUAAUUCUUUGAAUCACCGAAAACCACAUCAAGAGUGAUCUGACCGAGUGAGUCGGCUUUCUUUCCUGGGAUGACACCAUGGAAUCUCAUGUUGCUCUCACUGAGCUUGGACAUCAGAAUGCCCAUCCCUCGGAGGGCCUCAGCAUACAAUAUAUUAAAACCACUGCCACCGUCCAUCAAAACCUUGGUUAGUUGAGUGCCCCCCCAUGAUUGGGUCAACCACCAUCGCUUGCCGCCCAGGGGUAGCAACGUGUGCUGGGUGGUGGGACUGGUCGAAUGUGAUAGGGGUUUUUGACCACUUCAAAUAUCUCGGUGUUGCAGGAGCAACCAUGCAUGUUUACUUCUCUGUUAAUAAAUUUUUGUCGACUUUUCCUCUCGAUGUCAGCAAAAAUCACCAAAGUGGCAUUAAUAUUGGGGUAACCACCAUCUUCCUCUUUGUCAUCCUCCUUAUCAGACUCUUUGUCCUUUUCGUUAUGAUGGCUCUCUCGGAAACUCUGAAUCAGGAGUCGACACUGUCGAGUGGUAUGCUUGGGAAGAAUCAAAUUUCCCUCUUCAUCCUUUUUGGUGUGAAUAUGACACGGAAAAUCAAGCACAUCAUUUCCCGCUUGAUCUUUCACUUCUUUAGGGGUCCAGGGCCCUUUAGGCUUCCCCUUGAACUUCCCGUGAUUCAAAACUGCUGCCUCGGCAGGGCCAGCAGCCUCAGCUUUUCGUUUCUGCUUCCGACUAGAGUUUCCUACUCUGGUAUCAUGGGCGACUGAUUUGUUCUUGCCGCUCCAGAGUCGGUUGUCUUCUUCGCCAUUAGCGUAUUGAGUGAGAAUCUCCAUCAUCCGAGUCAGAGACAUGUCUCCUGUCCGGCCGAACUUUAGAUUGAGCUCUCUGUAACAAACUGCUUGGUGCUCCGACACAUUCUCCACUGUGUGACGAAGGGUAGUCCAUCUCUGAAUAUAGUCUCACAAAGUCUCAUUCUGUUUCUAAACACAAUGUGGCAAUUCUGCUAAACCAGCAGGCCGCUUGCAGGUGCCCUCGAAUGUUUUGGUAAACACUCAGGCUAACUCUUCCCAAUUGAAAAUGCUCCCAGGGGUCAACUAAUUCAACCAAGAUCUGGCAGAACCCUCAAGCAUCAAAGGGAUGUGUUUCAUGGCCACCUCAUCCUUACCACCACCAAUGUGCACAGCCACUCGGUAAUCUUCCAACCAAGUGUCGGGCUUCGAUUCUCCGAUGAACUUACUUAUGCCCGUCACCAACCUGAAGUUGUGAGGGAUCUCAGCGGCUCAGAUGGCUCUUCCAAAGCACUCGGGGCCGGAAACGUGCACUCUACCUCCACUGGGUCGAUCUCUAUCCAGCCCUUCUCUGUACGCUCUAUUCCUGUCAACCAGACCUUAUACAAGGACUGACCAUGCGUCGAACCCAGGCUCUCUUGGGUCGUCUAGAACUUUGCGGUCAUUACCAUAUGGGCACCUGACGUCAUACCACCGAGGCGCGUAUGACCCGUCCCUCGGAGGGGGCGAAGGCACUCAACGAUGGUUGUCACGGGCAAACUCACGAUCAAACUCUCCAUGAGCUCUUCCCAGGUGCCGAUCUCGAUGAUGAUCACGAUCUUCGUGUCACAAAGGCGACCCAGGGAUGUGUGCCGAGUGAACUAUUUCUGCCCUCCUUGACCUACUGUGGAAUCUAUUGAGCGACUGAGAAACAACAGAGUUUUGCUCUCCUGCUGCCCGGAGCAACGCUCGGAUCUGCUCCAAACCUCUUCCAGCUUUCGAACGGGGCGGCUAAAUAGACUCUGCUAUACGUGCAGCAGGUGUAAGAUUCUAGAUCGGAGUGCAGUAUACCUAGGGUUCAAGCAGAAACAAUUGUCAUUGCCGUCGACUGGAGUCGGGGAUCAGUUGACGGGCACGUUCGUCGAGAGAAUGCUGGAGGUUCUCCAGACGCGCGCGCUCAGCUAACGUGGCCAGGUGCGCAGCCUCCAAGGCCCGAGCCUCGGCACUCUCCCCCAUGAUGGGGGUCUGGAGCACCUCUACAUUUCAGCGGUGUAACUCUUCCCUCUACUGCGAAUUGAGAGGUUGGGGUUUGUACUCAUCAUGGUCAUACGACGGGCCGUCACCAUCGUCGUUGCCGCUGCUGCGGCGAAACCCAGGUGGGCUGCGACGGGAGUCGACCAUGGGAACUUCUGUCGCGGGGUCGAUGCUCCCGCGCUCGGAAAGAGUAUCCGCAUAGCCAGUCAACGGUCGACUGGUCCACAGAGAAAUUUGUCGGGUUCGAUCUCCAUGAAUUGAGGGGUGGCCGUCUGACGAGCCACCGCAUGCUUUACCCACCGCUAGAGCCGCGACCGACCAGAUCGCUUGCGCGGCCUCCAGCGGAGUGAGUGGAUGAUGUGAGGGGCGAUCUAUACGGGGUCGACGACUGUCGUAGAAGAACGCCGCAAGCACUCGCGCGGAAGUGCGACGCCCCGCGGAUCGGAAGAGCCUCAACAUCGGCGGGGGCUUCUUGGAGCCAGGAGGAGUCGUCGACGACAAAAGUGAGCACGCCGAGUUGGAACUCGCGGCCCACGACCAAACCACCGCUGGAAACCAUGUUGAUGAAGAUCGGAAAAAAUGCAACCUCGCCGGAAGUUGCCAAGAUGCUUUGCCCCACGGUGGGCACCAACUGUUGUGGUACUAAGUCUGACAGUAAGAGUAGGGGGUACGUAUGAGGAGUCAAGGCCCUGCCUACGGUGAGAUUGUACACACGAGUUUACGAGUUCAGGCCCCUCUCGGAGGAGCUAAAAGGCCUGCGUCUUGAUGCCCUAAGGCGGUUGACUGGAAUAUGGAUGUGUGUGUUACAGGGGGUGCGAACCCUUAUCCCAGAGGAGGAGGUGGCUUAUAUAGAGUGCACCAGGACCCGGGCCGUCCCCCAUUACAUGGGUCAAUGUACAUUAAGACAGGGCAUUACAGGUAACGCCAGCUACAAAGUGCUAUUAAUGAUUGAGGGAGUCCUGGAUUAGGGGGUCCUCGGACAACCGGACUAUAUGCUUAUGUCGGACUGUUGGACUAUGAAGAUACAAGAUUGAAGACUUCGUCCCGUGUCCGGGUGGAACUCUCCUUUGCGUGGAAGGCAAGCUUGGCAAUUCGGAUAUGUAGAUUCCCUUCUCUGUAACCGACUCUGUGUAACCCUAGCCUCCUCCAGUGUCUAUAUAAACCGGAGGGUUUAGUCCAUAGGACAGGAACAAUCAUAAUCAUAGGCUAGCUUCUAGUGUUAGCCUCUAUGAUCUCAUGGUGGAUCAACUCUUGUAACACUCGUAUCGUCAAGAUCAAUCAAGCAGGAAGUAGGGUAUUACCUCCAUAGAGAGGGCCUGAACCUGGGUAAACAUCGUGUCCCCUGCCUCCUGUUACCAUUAGCCUUAGACGCACAGUUCGGGACCCCCUACCCGAGAUCCGCCGGUUUUGACACCGACAUUGGUGCUUUCAUUGAGAGUUCCACUGAGACGUCACCAUAAAGCUUGAUGGCUCCUUCAAUCAUCUAUAAUGACGCGGUCCAGGGUGAGGUUUUCCUCCCCGGACAGAUCUUCGUAUUCGGCAGCUUCGCACUACUGGCCAACUCAUUUGGCCAUCUGGAGCAGAUCGAUAGCUACGUCCCUGGCCAUCAGGUCAAGUUUGGAAGCCUAAACUACACUACUGACAUCCACGGAGACUUGAUCUUCGACGGAAUCGAGCCCAUAACUGGUGCACCCUACAUCCACGAUGAGCAUGACCUAGAUCAUCCAUCGGGCGAUGUUCGGGAGAUCGCACCUGAAGCUGUCAUGGCUUUAGAACCGGAGCAGAACGUGCCAUCAAAGGACGGGAGGAUGGACCCCGCCACGGAAGCCGCACACUCUACGGCGAUAGAGCCGAACACAGAUAUCACCUCCGAUGAGGUUUGUGUCAUCGGAUCCUCGGACUAAUCUCCGGCCAUAGGCUCCAAACCACGUGUAUCCGCACCAACCAGAUCUGAUUGGGCGCCGAUCCUAGAGUUCAGCUCCGCGGACAUCUUUCAACACUCACCCUUGGGCGACGUGCUAAACUCAUUAAAAUCUCUCUCCUUGUCAGGAGACUCUCGGCCGAACUAUGUCCGGCUUGAGUGGGAAGCGGACGAUGAAGGAAUUCGUUACCCACCCACCACCCACUUAAUAGCCACUAUCGACGACUUAACCAACAUGCUUGACUUCGACUCCAAAGACAUCAAUGAUAUGGACGACGAUGCCGGAGAAGAACAGGAACCACCGCCCACAGGGCGCUGGAUAGCCACCUCAUCAUAUGACAUAUAUAUGGUGGAAACACCCAAAGAAAACAAUGGCGAGGAUCAAAAGGAUGCAAAGGAGGAUAUUCCUCCUAAGAAGCAACCAAAGCACCAAAGUCAGCGGCGCCGCUCUAAACCAUGCCAUACUAAAAACAGCGAUACCGGCACAAGAGACAAUAGGACUCCAGACGAUGCCGAAGAUGAAAACAAUCCCGCCCAGCCAAGCUUUGAACAGGCCGUACGAGAGGACGGGCAAGAUAGCCCUGAUGGACAAUCCAGAAACGAAGACUCAGAGGAUGACAAUUACAUGCCCCACUCCGAAGAGGAGGUGAGCCUCGGCGACAAAGAAUUUACCGUGCCUGAGGAUCCUGUCGAGUAGGAGCACUUCAAGCGCCAGAUUAUACCCACUGCAAAGAGCCUGAAGAAAAAACAGCAGCAGCUUCAAGCUAAUCAACAUCUACUCACUGAUAGAUGGACUGAGGUCCUGGCAGCCGAGGAAUACGGACUCGAGCGCCCAGCCAAAAGUUACCCUAGGCGCAGGCUGUUACCUCAAUCCGAGGACGAGGCACUAGAGCCUAUACUACCAGCACAGGACGCGGUUGACCGACCACCUCGUGGCCGAGACAAAGCGGCCUAUCAGUCCGAACACUAGCCCGCACCCAGUCGCCAAACAAACAAAAACACGAAGGCCCGGGGCUACAUGCAUGUCUGGAGAGACAAGUUGGAAAACAAAGCAGGGCAGUCAAGAUCGAUCUACGGAUUGCGGGGGCGCGCCCCAACGCGUGAUGAUGACCGCCACGCCAGAUAUACUAAAUACAAAUCCGUCCGGUCCGAAUACCACAGACCAUGUUCAUCCAAACUGAGUCACGAUGUAGCCCGGCAUAGACGCGCCGCACACCCCCUAUGCUUCACUGACGAAGUAAUGGAGCAUGAAUUCCCAAAAGGGUUUAAACCCAUGAACAUCGAAUCAUAUGAUGGGAUAACAGACCCUGUGGUAUGGAUUGAAGAUUUCCUUCUCCACAUUCACAUGGCCCGCGGCGAUGAUCUUCAUGCAAUCAAGUAUCUCCCACUAAAACUCAAGGGACCAGCUCGGCAUUGGCUGAAUAGCCUGCCAGAAAACUCCAUUGGCAGUUGGGAGAACCUGGAAGAUGCGUUCCUCGACAACUUUCAGGGCACUUAUGUGUGACCACCGGACCCUGAUGACUUAAGCCACAUAAUCCAACAGCCCGGAGAGUCAGCUAGGAAAUUCUGGACUCGGUUCUUAACUAAAAAGAACCAAAUCGUCGACUGUCCGGACGCCAAAGCCCUAGCGGCCUUUAAGCAUAACAUCCAUGACGAGUGGCUCGCCCGACACCUCGGCCAGGAGAAGCCGAAAUCCAUGGUAGCCCUCACAAGACUCAUGACCCGCUUUUGUGCGGGCGAGGAAGCUGGCUGGCUCGUAGCAACAACACCUCAGAAAAACCUGGAAAUUCUAAAUACAGAGACGACAACGGCAAGCCCCGAAGCAGCAAGCACAAAUGACGAAACAACGGUGACAGUGCUGAAGACACAGCUGUCAACGCCGGAUUCAGCAGCUCUAAGACCGGUCAAAGGAGGAAACCAUUCAAAAGGAACAAUCCGGGCACGUCCAGUCUGGACCGCAUACUCGACCAUCCAUGCCAAAUUCACGGCACCCAAGGUACACCAGCUAAUCAUACUAACAAAGAAUGAUGGGUCUUCAAACAGGCUGGCACGUCAAACGCCGACAGCAAGGAGAAGGGCUCACAAAGCAAGGACGAUGAAGAGGAGCCCCGGCCACCAAAGACAGGAGGGCAAACGAAGUUCCCUCCGCAAAUUAAAAUGGUGAAUAUGAUACACGUCACCCAUAUUCCCAAACGGGAGCGGAGGCGCGCACUUAGGGACGACUACGUGUGGAGCUAGUCGCCCCAAUAUACAACCCAUGGUCGUCCGGCUCAAUCACUUUUGAUCGCAAGGAUUGUCCGACCAGUAUUCGUCACGAUGGCUCAGUCGCAUUGGUCUUUGACCCUAUCAUCAAUGGAUUCCACCUUACACAAGUCCUUCUGGACGGUGGCAGCAGCCUGAACCUGCUUUAUCAGGAUACAGUGCGCAAGAUGGGCAUCGAUCCUUCAAGGAUCAAACCCACUAAAACCACCUUUAAAGGUGUCAUACCAUGUGUAGAGGCGUGUUGUACAAGCUCAAUCACACUGGAGGUGGUCUUUGGAUCCCCAGAUAAUUUCAGAAGCGAAGAGUUAAUCUUUGACAUCGUCCCCUUCCGCAGUAGUUAUCAUGCACUACUUGGACGAACCGCAUUCGCUCGAUUCAAUGCGGUGCCACACUACGCUUAUCUUAAGCUUAAGAUGCCCGAUCCACAUGGCGUCAUAAUAGUCACUAGAAACACUGAACGCUGCCUCCGUACCGAAGAGCACAUCACCGCCUUAACGGCAGGAGCACAGAGCGGCCUCUUUCAAUCGAAUAUUCAUUCGACGGCCAGGUUCCUAGACACUGUCGAAAGAGUCCGAACCACCUUGCGGCACAAUAGCCCAGCUCGUCAAGAGCCCAAUUAACCACUUAUGGAUGGAGGUGGAACAAGGUUGUGUCCCACAAUAAGGAUAAUCGCCCGAGGACACACAAACAUUUUUUGCAUUUUCUUUCAGGUUCAUCUUUUGACUAAGCCAUCUCCGGUGACCUGGCGAACGAACCUACGAAGGGACAGACACUCCACGGAGGGAAACAGCUCGAACGCGCAGGGGAAUCUCUAGAUAUUCUCCUCAACGAUCAUCCUACAAUUAUCCGAAUCCGCACGUAGCUCCCACCCUGGCCUCAGCAGGUUCCGAAGUCAUAUUUCUUUUUUAUCGCACUACUUGUACUCAUAUACUUUGAUGUAUUAUUAAAUUACAAAUCUGCGGCUUCAUAUGACGAUCACCUGUUGUUCCUUUUUAUUGAUAUUUUUUGUCAAAUAGCAGCCGUACACUUUGGUACAUCUUAAUAUGCCAGGGGCUUCGUUGUGCCCAUAAUAUGGCAAGCAAGUCUGAACACCUUCAUGGUCGUUCGGCACCCCAAACUUAUAGCAUUAUAUGCAUCAGCUUCGAAUCAUGUCUUGGGUCAAAUUUUGGGUUUCCCGUCUCCCAUCUUUUUCUACCUUACGUUCCGCUAUAUCGGCUAAGGUGGCACAGGGCUGCGAUUGUGUCCCGGUUCUUCUGGACGAGCACCUCAGUAGAGAAAGCCGAAAACUGACUGUCAUGAUGCGGCGAGAGAUGGUCGUUGUUCGAGAGGUCACAAAAUCUUUAAGGAUUUCUUGCGCAUUAUGUGAUAACUAAUGCAGCGUGCGACGGAUCGGGUUUUUCCGAUCAGGUGCUUAUAGAGCCCCCACUGCAGCCUUCCGAACACCAAGGGCUGCGCCUACCUUUCUUUUGUCAAACUCCUAUGUCUAAGUGAGGGUGACAAGCCUUAUAGUCCGAUUGCCUGGUUUAUUGCGCUGAACACCUCCUUCAAGGACCCAAAAUUGGGAUAAAGAGUGUUCAAAUUUAUCCCGAACACCCCCGUACUUCCUACGUGGGGGCAGAAGCCGACGACUGGCCAACUCUCAGGAUUAAUAUAUAAAACGGCCACACAGGAGGUACCGUUUUCCAAAUAACAGGCAUUAUACUACAUAAACGACCUUGUCCAAUAUUACAAACAAUAACAUGAAUGCAUUCACGGGAAUAUAAUAUCCUUGGCACACUACUCCACUACAAGGCAGGAUCCUUUUAAGACAUUGUCAUAAUAUAACUCGGGCUUGCGGUGUUCCUUCCCCUCCGGCGGUCCCUCGGUCAUCAGCUUUACGGCAUCCAUCUUCGCCCAGUGCACCUUGGCGCGGGCGAAGGCCAUUCGCGCACCUUCCAUACAGACUGACCGCUUGAUGACUUCAAGUUGAGGGCACGCACUUACAAGCCGCUUCACGAGCCCAAAGUAGCUGCUGGGAAUCGCCUCUGUGGGCCAUAGCUGGAUAAUUAAAUCCUUCAUGGCUAGUUCGGCCGCCCUAUGCAGCUCAACCAACUGUUUUAGUUGAUCGACAAAGGGCACUGGAUGCUCUGGAGCCAGAUAUUGCGACCAGAAGAGCUUCUCCGUAGAUCUCCCUUCCUCGGCCCGGUAGAAUUGUGCAGCAUCAGAUAUGUUGUGCGGCAGUUCCACAAACGCCCCUGGAGAAAACCGAACUCGGAUUAUUGACAUGAUUUUCUUCCUUUAAAUAUGUGCUUUGCAUAGAAAAAGCCUUACCGGCCGUGAUCUUUCUGGACUCUUGGAUUUCCUGAAGGGCACCUUGGGCUUCGCCCCGGGCAUCGUGUGCGGCUUGACGAGACUUGGUGAGUUUGGACUCUUUCUCCGUUAAACUCUGCUCCAAGGUCGCACAUUUCUUCACAGCCUCUUGGAGCUCUUGCUGGACUUCAAUAACCCUGGCCUCGUGCUUUUCAUGAAGGGUCUGCUCUUUGGCCGCCUUCUUCUCGGCCUCAGCCAUUGCCUUUCUCAGAGCCUCGACUUCGGCCGUCGCUCCUAGAACACAUCAUGAAUUUUUUUUGUCAUACUCAAUUAUUCAUUCGUACCAAAUGCAAAUGAGGUCUUUCGCAUACCUUGGUUACCCUCUAAAUGCUUCUUCACUUGGCCGAGCUCUUCUUCGGCCCGCUCCAGACUCUGCUUCAGCCCAGAGACUUCCAUAGUCUGAGAGGUGGCAAUCACUACAAACGCCUGCUCGAAGAAAAAAAGAGAGAGGGAGAGGUAUUACAAGGUCAGUCUCCUGCAAACAUAUAUUUGAUCCUCUGUCCGGCUUUUCCUUCCGAACACCGAACAGUGUAUCAGGGGCAACUAUCUAUACUAUGACACUUUUUAAAAACCUCACAACAUACCUCAAAGCCUGUUAUAAGGCUGAUGCAGGCUUCAGUCAGCCCGCUUUCGGCAGAUUGAAUCUUCUCAAUCACGGCACCCAUAAGGGCACGAUGUUCUUCCAUGAUGGAAGCAUUCUUCAGCCCUGCCGAUAAGAUAUCCAGCACCUCUGGUUGGGCAGAGGUCGCCGGUGGAACAGGCGCACCCCCUUCUGUCGAGGGAGGUUGCGUGCCUGACUCUGGAGUUGAGUUGGUCUUCGGAACUGUGUCCGGCUGGGGGACAAAUUCAAGAUAGCCCCCGCCGUCGAUGUCCAUGGGGGUCUUUUUCCCCGUGUGACCGGCCGCCGAGGUUUGACCCUCUGGCGCUCCCUUGACAGUCUCCCUAGUUCCUCUUUGUCCUGGGAGCCUUGGGGACGAUACCUCGAUGUCGUCCACGUGUUUUGGGGAGGAAGCCGUCGGGGGAGUCCCGCUGUCCAUAGCGUCUGAGCCUAGUGAAUCCUCCGAUGAGGAUUGCUCGGUGCGGGACUUGGCCGGACUGCAAAAAAAGGCGUGACUCAAUGCGUUAACACUACCCGAUAGUAAAUCUGGAUAUACCAACAUGUUCGGGUUUUAUAUACUCAUGAAUUAACCAGGGGCUGGACCCUGGGAUCCCACUUUGUGCUGCUGUCAGUGGCGGUGUGGGGUUCGUCUGGAAUGGGGGUUUUCCCUUCUUAAGUGACUCGGCCUCCAAGUGUGUUGAGGCCGUCCUUUUCUUCCCCCCCCCCUCGCUGGGGGAGAUUGGCUUUCCUCCUUUUUUUCAUCCUCUUUGGAGGAGGAGCGGGCCUCAGAAUCUUCGGACACUUUGUCCGAAGUGCCUUUUCAAUGAAGACCGCCCUGGUCUCCUUGGCCUCCUUCUCAGCCUUCUUCUUAGGCGCCUUAUAAGGUGCCGGAACCAGCAUCUUCAUUAGAAGUGGGCCGGCUUGUUCUUCUGGCAGCGGGGCCGGACAGUAGAUGCGCUCCGCCUUCUUCGUCCAGCCCUGGGAGAAUUGUUGGGAAAUAUAUUAAGCAUUUCCCUUAAAAUACAUGGUUGAAGCAUACGUCUUGCCAAUAUAUAAAGACUUACCGAACUUGCGGGACGGGACAGUUUGUACCCACGGUCCUCGGCCGAGUCCGGUCACAAUUUGCCAGACUUGAAGAGCACCUUCCCGAUAUCUUCCUGCGUUGUGCCGAAGAGCUCCGUCAGGGUCUGGUGCUUGGCUGGGACGAAUUCCCAUAAAUUGCAAGCCCUGCGUUGGCAUGGGAGAAUCCGGCAAACCAACAUCACUUGCACUACGUCAAGGAGUUUAAUGUUCUUGUCUCCCAUGCUCUUGACGCGCGCCUGGAGCGUUGCCAGUGCGUCUGACGAAGACCAGUCCAGGCCCUUCUCGGGCCAGGACGUAAGCCGCAACGGGGCUCCGGAUUGGAAUCCAGGGGCCACGGCCCAUUUGGCACCGCAUGGCUCAGUGACAUAGAACCACUGUUGUUGCCACCCUUUGAUGGAAUCAUUGAACGUACCUGAUGGCCUUGCGAUGUUGGGCAUCUUGCUCACCAUGGCUCCUCCACACUCGGCGUGCUCUCCGUUCACCACCUUGGGCUUCACAUUGAAAAUAUUCAGCCAUAAUCCAAAGUGUGGAGAGAUGCGGAGGAAGGCCUCACACACGACAAUGAAUGUCGAGAUGUUGAGGAAGGAAUUGGGGGAUAGAUCACGGAAAUCGAUCCCAUAGUAAUACAUAAGGCCGCGAAUGAAUGGGUGGAGGGGAAACCCUAGCCCGCAGACAAAGUGAGGGAGGAAUACAACCCUCUCGUGGGGUUCCGGAGUAGGGACAAUCUGUCCUGCCGUCGGAAGGCGGUGGCCGAUCUUCUUGGCCAGUUACCCAGCCUCCCGAAGUUUCUUAAUAUCCUUCUCCUGGACGGUAGAGGCCAUCCACUUUCUUCCUGCUCCAGAUUCGGACAUGUUCGGAGAGCCUUUGUGGGCAGAGAGGGCGAGAUCUUGGGCGUUGAAGCUCAAGGAUGGAUGAGCAGAGGAAGAAGAGGGCGUGGGUGAAAAGAGGGGUAACCCUCAUCUCUUUAUAAAGGAGGCAGAAGUCAUGCGCCUCCCCACUUGCCCUAGAAACUCGCUUAUUCCCCAAGCGUCGUGCUAAUAGCGCGGUUGGGUUACCCACACCCAUAUUAAUGAGAAUCCCGUGAUAAGGGGACACGAUCUCUGCUUCGACAAGGCGUGCCAAUAAAAGCCGCCUCGCAAGAUGUGUAGUAGCAGGUUGAGAAAACGGUUCGAAUAAUGAACGGGCCGCGGCAUGGUGUCACGCUAUGAAAAAGUUGUCAGCAGAUUAAGACUCGUGGAAUAUUAUACACUCUACGGUGGUGAUACGUCUCCAACGUAUCUAUAAUUUUUUAUUGCUCCAUGCUACUUUAUCUACUGUUUUAGGCAAUAUUGGGCUUUAUUAUCCACUUUUCUAUUAUUUUUGGUACUAACCUAUUAACCGGAGGCCCAACCCAGAUUUGCUGUUUUAUGCGUAUUUCAGUGUUUUGAGGAAAAGGAAUAUCAGACGGAGUCAAAACGGAACGAAAUCAACUGGAGAAGUUAAUUUUGGAAGGAAACCCACCUGAUGGACUUGGAGUGCACGUCAGGGGAGUCCCGGGCUACCCACGAGGGUGCCCCCCCCCGGGGUGCGCCCCCCUGCCUCGUGAGCACCUCGGAGGUCCACCGACGUAUCCCUUGCACCCAUAUAUACCUACGUACCCUAAAACUUCUAGAACAGAAGAUAGAUCGGGAGUUCCGCCGCUGCAAGCCUCUUUAGCCACCAAAAACCAAUCAGGACCCUGUUACGGCACCCUGCCGGAGGGGGAUCCCAUCACCGGAGGCCAUCUUCAUCAUCCCGGCGCUAUCCAUGACGAGGAGGGAGUAGUUCACCCUCGGGGUUGAGGGUAUGUACCAGUAGCUAUGUGUUUGAUCUCUCUCUCUCUCUCAUGUUCUCUCUCGUGUUCCCUCUAUGGCACGAUCUUGAUGUAUCCCGAGCUUUGCUAUUGUAGUUGGAUCUUAUGAUGUUUCUCCCCCUCUACUCUCUUGUGAUGAAUUGAGAUUCCCCUUUGAAGUUAUCUUAUCGGAUUGAGUAUUUUAUGAGAACACUUGAUGUAUGUCUUGCGAUCCACUUGAUGUAUGUUUUGGUGAUCAACUUGCGGUUUUCGUGACAUUGGGAACCUAUGCAUAGGGGUUGGCACACGUUCUUGACUCUCCGGUAGUAGCUUUGGGACACUCUUUGAAGUACUUUUAUGUUGGUUGGAUGAAUCUGAGAUUGUGUCACGCAUAUCGUAUAAUCAUGCCCACGGAUACUUGAGGUGACAAUGGAGUAUCUAGGUGACAUUAGGGUUUUGGUUGAUUUGUGUCUUAAGGUGUUAUUCUAGUAUGAACUCUAUGAUGGAUUGAGCGGAAAGAAUAGCUUUAUGUUAUUUUACUACGAACUCUUGAAUAGAUAGAAUAGAAAGGAUAACUUUGAGGUGGUUUCGUACCCUACCAUAAUCUCUACGUUUGUUCUCCGCUAUUAGUGGCUUUGGAGUGACUCUUUGUUGCAUGUUGAGGGCUUGUUAUAUGAUCUAUCUAUGUUAUUAUUGUUGAGAGAACUUGCACUAGUGAAAGUAUGAACCCUAGGCCUUGUUUCCUAUCAUUGCAAUACCGUUUACGCUCACUUUUACCACUUGUUACCUUGCUGUUUUUAUUAUUUCAGAUUACAAAUACCUUUAUCUACUAUCUAUUUUGCACUUGUAUCUUCAUCUCUUCGCCAAACUAGUGCACCUAUACAAUUUACCAUUGUAUUGGGUGUGUUGGGGAUACAAGAGACUCUUUGUUAUUUGGUUGUAGGGUUGUUUGAGAGAGACCAUCUUCAUCCUACGCCUCCUACGGAUUGAUAAACCUUAGGUCAUCCACUUGAGGGAAAUUUGCUACUGUCCUACAAACCUGUGCACUUGCAGGCCCAACAACGUCUACAAGAAGAAGGUUGUGUAGUAGACAUCAGGUGGUAUGUGGAAUUUUUUUAGCAGAGCCGGACACGAUUCUUGUGUUCAAGAUCUACUUUGGAGUAUACGGAGAAGGAACCCGCCUUGCAAUGCCGAAGACAAUCUGCGCGCCGGACUCAUCGUCAUUGAAGCCUGGUUCAGGGGCUACUGAGGGAGUCCUGGAUUAGGGGGUCCUAGGACAGCCAGACUAUAUGCUUAUGCCGGACUGUUGGACUAUGAAGAUACAAGAUUGAAGACUCCGUCCCGUGUGCGGGUGGGACUCUCCUUUGCAUGGAAGGCAAGCUUGACAAUUUGGAAAUGUAGAUUCCCUUCUCUGUAACCGACUCUGUGUAACCCUAUCCCCCUCCGGUGUCUAUAUAAACCGAAGGGUUUAGUCCGUAGGACAGGAACAAUCAUAAUCAUAGGCUAGCUUCUAGGGUUAGCCUCUACAAUCUCGUGGUGGAUCAACUCUUGUAACACUCGUAUCAUCAAGAUCAAUCAAGCAGGAAGUAGGGUAUUACCUCCAUAGAGAGGGACCGAACCUGGGUAAACAUCGUGUCCCCUGCCUCCUGUUACCAUUAGCCUUAGACGCACAGUUCGGGACCCCCUACCCGAGAUACGCCGGUUUUGACACCGACAAUGAUCUUUAAGACUACGGAGUGAAUGCCUGACCGUUGCCAUCCUGAGCGACUCUAGGUCUUGUGUACCCCGAGUGGUUUCUUGUAUGGUCGAAUGACUUCAUCUUGGUAGAGUGAAAUUGGGGGUGUCUGAGUGGGGUAACUAGUUGAGUGGAUUGCACUCCAUGGUUACUUCAGUCGAUAUCUUUUGCUAUACUUUCAAUGUCCUUGAUUCUAGGGUAGUGACCUUGGAUAGGGCGUAUAGGUCAGGCCUAUGACCCUACCCUGGGUCCAUGGCAUCGUCAGAGGUGCCGAAGAGCUCCUCGUAAAGGGUUAUGUCGAUGCUAGCUUUGACACAGAUCCGGAUGACUCCAAGUCACAAAGCGGAUACAUGUAUAUUUUGAAUGGUGCGGCAGUCAGCUGGUGCAGCUGCAAGCAAAGCAUCAUGGCGGGAUCUACAUGUGAAGCAGAGUACAUAGCUGCUUCGGAUGCAGCACAAGAGGCAGUCUGGAUGAAUGAGUUUAUCACCGACCUAGGAGUGAUUCCCAAUGCGUCGGGCCCGAUGACUCUCUUCUAUGACAACACCGGAGUUAUUUCCCUUGCCAAGGAGCCCAGGUUUCACAAGAAGACAAGGCAUAUAAGGCGUCGCUUCAACUCCAUUCCUGAAUAUAUUCAAGAUGGAGACAUAGAUAUUUGUAAAGUGCAUAUAGAUCUGAAUGUCGCAGAUCCAUUGACUAAACCUCUUCCACGAGCAAAACAUGAUCAGCUCCAGAACUCUAUGGAUGUUCGAUUCAUCACAAUGUAACUAGAUUAUUGACUCUAGUGCAAGUGGGAGACUGUUGGAAAUAUGCCCUAGAGGCAAUAAUAAAGUGGUUAUUAUUAUAUUUCCUUGUUCAUGAUAAUUGUCUAUUGUUCAUGCUAUAAUUAUAUUAACCGAAGAACAUAAUACAUGUGUGAAUACAUAGACCACAACAUGUCCCCAGUGAGCCUCUAGUUGACUAGCUUGUUGAUCAAUAGAUGGUUAUGGUUUCCUGACCAUGGACAUUGGAUGUCAUUGAUAAUGAGAUCACAUCAUUAGGAGAAUGAUGUGAUGGACAAGACCCAAUCCUAAGCAUGGCACAAAAUCGUGUAGUUCGUUUGCUACAGCUUUUCUAAUGUCAAGUAUCUUUCCUUAGACCAUGAGAUUGUGCAACUCCCGAAAACCAUAGGAAUGCUUUGGGUGUAUCAAACGUCACAACGUAACUGGGUGAACAUAAAGGUGCACUACAGGUAUCUCUGAAAGUAUCUGUUGGGUUGGCACUAAUCGAGACUAGGAUUUGUCACUCCGUAUGACAGAGAGGUAUCUCUGGGCCCACUCGGUAAUGCAUCAUCAUAAUGAGCUCAAUGUGACUAAGGAGUUAGCCACGAGAUCAGGCAUUAUAGAACGAGUAAAGAGACUUGCCGGUAACGAGAUUGAACGAGGUACGGGGAUACCGACGGUCGAAUCUCGGGCAAUUAACAUACCAAUGGACAAAUAGAAUUGUAUACGGGAUUGAUUGAAUCCCUGACAUCGUGGUUCAUCCGAUGAGAUCAUCAUGGAACAUGUGGGAGCCAAUAUGGGUAUCCAUAUCCCGCUAUUGGUUAUUGGCUGAAGAGAUGUCUCGGUCAUGUCUGCAUGGUUCCCGAACCCGUGGGGUCUACACACUUAAGGUUCGGUGGCGCUAGAGUUGUAAUGGGAACUUGUAUGUGGUUACUGAAUGUUGUUCAGAGUCCUGGAUGAGAUCCCGGAUGUCACGAGGAGUUUCAGAAUGGUCCGGAGGUGAAGAUUUAUAUAUGGGAAGUCCAGUUUCAAUCGCCGGAAUAGUUUUGGGGGUUAUCGGUAUUGUACCGGGACCACCGAAAGGUGUUUGGGGGUCCAGCGGGUGGGGCCACCUACCCCGGGGGACCAAGUGGGCUGAAUAUGGGUGGGAACCAGGGGCUAGUGCGCCCCCAAGGGCCCAAGGCGCCUAGGGUUGAAAACCCUAGGGGGUGGGGGCGCCUCCCACCUUGCUUGGGGUGCAAGUUCCCCCCCCCCUUGGACGCCGCCCCCCCUAUAGAUGCAUCUAGGGGCCCGUCCCCCUCCCCCCUUCACCCUAUAAAUAUGAGGGGGUGGGAGGGCAAUAGCACCAUUGCCCCUAGAGCAGCCCUUCCCCCUCCUACACCUCUUCCUCCUCCGUAGUGCUUGGCGAAGCCCUACCGGAGAACCACGGGCUUCACCACCACCACGCCGUCGUGCUGCCGGAGUUCUCCUCUCCCCUUGCUGGAUCAAGAAGGAGGAGACGUCCCCAGGAUGUACGUGUGUUGAACACGGAGGCGCCGUCUGUUCGGCGCUUGGAUCGGAUCUUCCGUGAUUUGAAUCGCCGCGAGUACGACUCCAUCAUCCGCGUUCUUGUAACGCUUCCUCUUUGCGAUCUUCAAGGGUAUGAAGAUGCACUCCCUCUCUCCCUCCCUCUCUCUCUCUCUCUCUCUCUCUCUCUCUCUCGUUGCUAGCAUCUCCUAGAUUGAUCUUGGUGACAAGUAGGAAUUUUUUUGAAUUAUUACUAUGUUCCCCAACAUCCCGGUCGGUGAUCUCCGGCACCCAUGUCCUCACGAGCGCCGCCGAAUGCGAGAUAGGUACUAGUUGGCAGCCGCGGCGGAGGGAGCUCCAAGAAAUUGGGGAAUCCAGUGGGGGCGGGCAGAUUAGGAGAGCGGCGGCGGCUCGAGGAUGCGCCGUCGGACAACGACCCGCGGGCAUGGCGGUGCGCGUCCGCACUAUGGAUUGGCGGUGGGGACCUCUGGCCACCGCAUCCGGCCACUGGAAGGAGAGAGAGAAAUAGGGAAUGGCGGGGGAGGGGGCGUGACAACGACAUGGCGAGGGAGAGAAGAGGAUGCAGAGGAGAGGAAGAAAGGGAGAAAAGUUUUACUUGGCCGCCAAGUGGGGGAGUAAAAAUAGGUUUCACGACGGCGCAGCAAUUUUUUUACUCCAGUAAGGUCUAUCAAGGAUCAGUUAGGUCCUGGUUAGAGGAGUAAAACCACAUUUUUACUCCUCUAGCCAGUUAUAAGGGAUCCGUUAGAAAUGCCCUUAAGGUUAGGACUUGGCGGCCUCGCGUCGUUGACUUGAUGGAUGGGUUCUUGCUAGUCGUUAUGAACGCCGAGGUUAGCGUUUGCAGGGCCUAUCAAUGCAGUGAUGGCAGCUUAGCAUUGCACGCGUGUCCUCGUGUUUGUCAUGUUGGUGCGGCCUUCGAUGCCAGUGUGAGGGCCAUAAGAAAUCGUGGUGGAUUGAUCCUUGGCUAUGCGGCUCUUUUGUUGGCGAGGGAUUUUUCUUCAGGAUGCUGGUCCAACUGGACCGUGACCUUAAUAACUUAAUGUAUGUGAUCAACAAGACAAUGACAACCCGACUCUUGUGGGGGAGAGGCUUGUGAGUGAUACAUCUCUGUUGUAUCUAUAAUUUGUUAUUGUUUCAUGCCAACAUUCUACAACUUUUACAUAUUUUUGGUAACAUUUUAUAUUACUUUUUGGGACUAACAUAUUGAUUCAGCGUCCAGUGCUAGUUCCUAUUACUUUAGGGUUUAGUGUUUAGGGUUUUGUGCCGAUGUCAAUGGAGCUGAGAGCGUAGGGUGGUGUAGUCAUGGUCGAGGUAGGCGUGCGAGGGAUGCCAUGGUUGAUGUUGAGUCGGGGUGGCCGGUGUCAACGUAGUUGCCGUGGACCGGGAAGAAGAGCGGCGGCCUAUGGAGGUGGCGCCGGCUAGGUGAGGAUCACGACGGUGGUGCUCGAAGUAGGUGAGGAAGAACCCGACAACGUGACGAAGACGACGCAGGUGGUGGCGUUCCCGCAACUAGGAAGUUGGUGCGGCGCAUACCACACAGAAGUUGACGCACGUGGACGGGAAUUGCACCGCGUGUCGCAACGCUACGGCCUGAUGGGGCAAUGCAGCGGUAGCGUGCGGGUCGGGGCGACGGCGGAGAGGACCUCAGGGCAGCAGCAGGGACCACGUGCCACGCUCGCUAUGACCCAAUGGAGCGACAUAGAGGCAGCAUGGGGUCGGUGCAGUCAUAGGUACGGCCUGGAGCGGACGACCUCGGGGCGGCGGUGGACUGCAGGCCGCGGAACUAUGACCUGAAGGGGAAAGCAGCGGCAGUGCGCGAGUUAGUGCAGUUGUGGGGAGAACCACGGGGCGGCAGCAAAGACCGCGUGCCACACUCUCUACGGCUCGAUAGGGUGACGCAUCGGCAUCGCGAGGGUCGGUGCAGCCACGGGGACGGCCUGGAGCGGACGGCCACGGGGCAGCAAUGGACCGCGGGUCGCGACACUAUGUUCCGAAGGGCCGACGCAGCGACAGCGCGUGGGGAGAAUCAUAGGACGGCAACGCUGUGGUCUAAAGGGACGAAGCAGCUGCAACCCCUUGGUCGAUCGGUGAAGACACACAUAAACUUGAUGACGAUCUUCGCAGAAUCCAACAUUGGCACACACAUGCGGUUGAUUAGACUCCUCCAAUGGCGUACAACUCGUGCGGGUCCCUCGUCUACGCAUGCCCGGUGCUGGCAACACCGAUGCGUGCCUUCGUCCACGACGUGUUUUGGGGCCUGGCAAGCUCGGUGCGACGCUUCGUCAACUUCGUUUUCGUCCGUCUAUGCAUGCCCGGUGCUGGCAACACCAGCGCGUGCAUUCGUUACGACGUGUCCCUGGGUUUGGCACACCAAGCGUGACGCCUCAUCAACAACGUCUUCUUCCUAGCGCACCACUACUUCAGCACCACUGUGCCCAUGACUAACUCGGCGCCUCCUUGCGCCCGCGGCUCCACGUUGACUUCCGCGACACCGUCUACCCCGACUCGACAUCGACCAUGACAUUCUUCGCAUGUCUACCUCGACCACGGCUACACCACCCUACGCUCUCGGCUACCUCAACAUGGCACAAAGCGCUACUAUCCUUCUUGAGCAACUUGGUCGGUUUUCGCUCCAGCCACGACUUNNNNNNNNNNNNNNNNNNNNNNNNNNNNNNNNNNNNNNNNNNNNNNNNNNNNNNNNNNNNNNNNNNNNNNNNNNNNNNNNNNNNNNNNNNNNNNNNNNNNNNNNNNNNNNNNNNNNNNNNNNNNNNNNNNNNNNNNNNNNNNNNNNNNNNNNNNNNNNNNNNNNNNNNNNNNNNNNNNNNNNNNNNNNNNNNNNNNNNNNNNNNNNNNNNNNNNNNNNNNNNNNNNNNNNNNNNNNNNNNNNNNNNNNNNNNNNNNNNNNNNNNNNNNNNNNNNNNNNNNNNNNNNNNNNNNNNNNNNNNNNNNNNNNNNNNNNNNNNNNNNNNNNNNNNNNNNNNNNNNNNNNNNNNNNNNNNNNNNNNNNNNNNNNNNNNNNNNNNNNNNNNNNNNNNNNNNNNNNNNNNNNNNNNNNNNNNNNNNNNNNNNNNNNNNNNNNNNNNNNNNNNNNNNNNNNNNNNNNNNNNNNNNNNNNNNNNNNNNNNNNNNNNNNNNNNNNNNNNNCAUGAGGCUCAAGCAAUAAACAUCGAUUCCGUCAAUCUCCCUCUAUCCCCUUCUAACAUGGUAUCAGAGCUCAUGUUCGUCAUGUUGGUGCGGCCUUCGAUGCUGGUGUGAGGGCCAUAAGAAAUCGUGGUGGUUUGACCCUCGGCUAUGCGACUCUUUUGUCGGUGAGGGAUUUUUUUUAAGAUGCUAGUCCAACUGGACGAUGACAUUAAUAACUUAAUGUAUGUGAUCAACAAGACAAUGACAACCUGAUUCCUGCGGCGAAGAGGCUUAUGAUGGCGCGGCAUCGGCCCGUUACGGAGGAAGAAGACGGCCAGAGUAGGGAUUUCGGUGCAAUUUCUUUAUUUUGUAUGGAUGUGUCAACUAGUGAUUUGGUUAUUAUUCGAGAGCUUUUCUGUGGGCAAAAUGAUUUUACACAGGCCGAAGUACAGCGUAGCGUGUGUCACACUGGCAUGAGCAUCUUUAUUCCCUUCUUUCGGUUUUUGCAGGAGCUGCAAUGAUUUAACACGGAAAUAGGGGUCUCAUACUCGUAUGGCAAUAUUCGCCAGGGCUUUUGGAAGGGUGAGCUCGUGAGGCAAGCAAACAUGGUACGUAGCCCACCGACACUGACACUAUCUCAUGGGUACAUUUCAGGACGCAUUCACCUCCCCAGCCCACGUCUCAUUCCACAGGAGUUCCCCAUUGUCACACGUAUGUAGUUGAAAAUUAGAUCAAAGAGGCAACAGAUAUGCAUUGAAUUGCACUACAAUUCUUGUUAUUUCGGGAACAUUUCCCACUUCGUACCGUGGCGUAGCACAAAUGUGCACGUAUGCGUGUGCAAGAAACUCUGCUUCUAACCGAAGUCCACGUGUUUGUGACGAAAGUAACCCACAAAAUAAAGGGAGACAGAUGCGUAUAUGUGGCGAAGAGAUCAGAUCGAGCAUAAAAGAAGCUCGUGGUGCACUAAUCUUCCGCAAGGCUCAGGCCGACUACACUCGCGGGACAGCGCCGCGGUGUUCCAAAAGCUCGUAGCGACUAAACAUUGGACGCGUCAGUGUCAACAUCGGUUCAUUUCCUGGGAUGUCGAUCGCUAUUAAGUAUUAACCUGAACCUUUUCUUCGAGAAAUUGGAAUGAAAAUAUAAUGGGUGAACCACGGAUAAGUCAUAGAAGUGGAUGGAUGGUUGGCUGGCGGUAGGGCGGGCAUAACCGACAAGCUAACGGCAACCGAACCAGAAUUAGAGCCACCAAACCGAGUGGCGGGGCACGGGUUAAGCCGGCCGAACGUACAGACCUUAGAUACGUUUCUUCCUUGUCAUUAUUCAUUCGUGACAUGCGUGCGCUAUUAUUCGUCCUAAGAAAUCCAUCUUUCCAGAGCUGAACUCUGCUUUUGGUGCAUGUGGCGUUGAAUUACUUAGAAUGGUGCUCAACCAUCCAUCCUUAAUUGUAUAGUACUCUGUGGGCUGUGGCCGCAUGCAGCUGGUUGAAUGGAACAAGUACAGGGGCCCAACUGUUUAUUUGUGUCCAAAGCAAAGGUUACAACAAAAUAGCAUGACCAUGCAUGCGACAUGGAGAGCUAGUUUUAAGCAUUAUCCUCGUUGGGGUGGUCGUAGCCGGCCAUUCAUCCGCCAUGGAGCCGUGGCUUGUACACCUCGCCGUCGACGCGUACGUACGUGCACAGACGGGACUAUACUGAAGAAGAAAAAACGGGUGCCUAUACUGUGAUUCCGACGGACAGACGGAAUAUCAUUGACCGGAUACCAUUUCGCCUAAAAUAGUGCCUCCGUACAAGAGUGCCGGCCGUUUGGUGCUGCGUGCACUUCCGGCCCGUUCAGCCGUGUCCAUCUCUCCACCUCUACACUUGUUCGGUGAAAUUAUUCGUCGUUGGCGGUGCGAGGAUAUUCCCCAGUAGACAAAUCUUAUUUCUAUAUGAAUUUGAAAGUUUGUAUAUCUCAGAAUAUACACAUCUACGGAACUGGGUCCCUCGAGACCAUUGAACUGAUUCAUUAUAAACGUGCCCGCAAAAAAAAAUUUGAUUCAUUAUAGACGUGACAGGGUUGGACAUACGCAUGGUCCCUACGUGACGGCUACGUACAGCCUACGAGUUUGAAGCGAGAAAAAAAACUAGUUUAGUCUCUUUUAGAGAGAGAGAGAGAGAGAGAGAGAGAGAGAGAGAGAGAGCACGCUGCUGGAUUAGUCUGAAAGUGGGAGAUGCACAGUUACAUCAGCACGGGCGAUCACGCAAAUGAAUUUAGUUUGUAGUUAGAUGCGCUAAUAUGAACGGCGGUAGGACAAAGGCACUUCCCUAGUUAGGGCAUCUCACCGCAAGUUUGAGCCGGCAUCCGUUCGAAGAUAGAGGGGCCAGUGCGCACACACGGAUGCGGGAGUUGGCCAUUCAAAACUGCCAGCAUAUGUCUAGUUACAUUUCAAACAGAUUUUAACAAAAAUGACAAAAUUUGAUGCAAACCGGACGAUACCCACUUACUUUUAGAUUCUUUUUACAUAAAACCAGACGGUGUUUUAUCAGGUGAACUAAAACCCUUAAAAAACCCUACUCCUACACUAUCCUACUUAACGGUGACCUUGUAGGCCAUGCCGGGCUGGCCGGCGGCUCCCCCGUCAUUGUCGCCGGAUCCGUUGUUGUCGUCAUCAGGCUUCGUGCGGCGCGACGUCGCGGCAGGGCUUCCCGGCAACCGCCUGAUACUCAUGGAUGAUCCGCUCGGCUUCCUUCCGCGCCAUGCGCAGCGCGACCGUGGCCACCGACGAUGUGGGCUAAGGAAGAGGCCGGCGGGCCUUGGAGGAGGCGACAUUGGCGGCGUCGAUCUCGCUGAAAGACCAAUCUUCGUUGUACUUGGCCAUCUCCCCGUCGAGGCGGAGGAGAUGAUGCUUGCUCAUCUCCGUCGUUGACAUGAUGCGGUCCAGGGCCCACGUGUAUGCCAGGUUUGGUUCCACCGUGAUGUGUGGCGGCGGGACGUCGGAGUCCGCGAGCUUCGACCAGUGCGCCGCAUUGCGCCUGUCCCGCCGGUGCUGUUACCUGUCGGUGUACUCCUGCACCAUUAGGGCGCUCUGGGACGACAAGCUGCUCUCGUUGUUGCUGCCGCCCCCGAGGUAGUGGCGAAUGCGACCACGCGCCUUCGCGGCGAUCGCACGGGGCAGGGGCGGCGGUGAUCGAUGCUCCUCCUUGACGCGGCUCCGCCGCUCCUCCUUCACACGGCGUGGCGACGGAGAGAGCCGCUUCUCCUUGACGUGCCGGGGCGGUGAGAGGGGCUCCUCCUUGACUCGACGUCUGAUUUGGACGUCACGGCUGCACGGGGAGAGCGCGGAGGGGAGGCGGGUUUCGGCUUCACGCGGAUGAGCGUCUCCGGUGGCACCACCGGGAUGCUGACGUGGACAACGGAGCGAUGGAGCAUCACCUCCAUCUGUUGCCCGUACUCCUCGUCCGUGACAGUGAACGUGCCGACUCCAGCUGGGCGGCCGGUCCUCUUCGUUGUCGUAGGAGAUGAUGAUCCCUGCCUUUUGCUACGAACCACCCGCCGUUUCGGAGCUACCACCUGCCGCCGUUGAGGCCCACGACUUGCCCAUCGCUGGAGUUGCGGAGGAAGAAGGGACGGAGGGUAGGAGGAUGAUGUGGUGAGCGUGCUGUGGACGACGCCAGAGCACGACUCAUAAAGUCGUGGUGAGGCCAUGCGAACGGACGGUCAGCCGCUUCAAUGUGGCGGAGCGGCCGAAGUUGGUUCCUCAGGAAGCUAUGUCUGCAUUGAUGCGGCGGCUCCCGAGAGGUCGCGUCAGUCAGCGCCGCCUUCCCAUCCGGUCACAUCACACAGCAUCAAUGUCGGCCGCUACGUGCUCUAGGCCGACAUUGAUGUGGUGCGGGAAGCGGUGCGUGCAUCGGAAGAAAAGUGCGGGAGAGGCGGGCGGGGUUAUUUGGUGGGUCAGGGCAGUUAGGAGCGGACGUGGCAGCGAUCCGUAUGCNNNNNNNNNNNNNNNNNNNNNNNNNNNNNNNNNNNNNNNNNNNNNNNNNNNNNNNNNNNNNNNNNNNNNNNNNNNNNNNNNNNNNNNNNNNNNNNNNNNNNNNNNNNNNNNNNNNNNNNNNNNNNNNNNNNNNNNNNNNNNNNNNNNNNNNNNNNNNNNNNNNNNNNNNNNNNNNNNNNNNNNNNNNNNNNNNNNNNNNNNNNNNNNNNNNNNNNNNNNNNNNNNNNNNNNNNNNNNNNNNNNNNNNNNNNNNNNNNNNNNNNNNNNNNNNNNNNNNNNNNNNNNNNNNNNNNNNNNNNNNNNNNNNNNNNNNNNNNNNNNNNNNNNNNNNNNNNNNNNNNNNNNCUCCGUUUUAUGGGAAAAGUGCCUCCAAACCGCCAAACAAACUGAUGCACGACUACCUAGGAUAAGAAGAACACGUCUGGAUCAUACGGUCCAGACAUAUAUGGGCAGUUUGAUGAUCGUUAGAGAUGUCCUUAGGAGCCGUUGGCACCAGUAGAAGCGCAUAGGAAACACAUGCACGGUAUCAAGAAAUGGUACUAAAACUAAAAGAAAGGAAACACGUGCACGUGUUUCUGUAAUAUGUGUCUGUGUACAGCGACAACCUAGCUAACAAUUGUUCAUUGAUUCCCUCUCGGGUUUGAUCAUAUUAAGUUCAUGUGCCAUCUGUUUCUUCAUAAGCAUUUAUUUCUAGUUGGUGUUUAGUUAUAUUGAGGACUAGUUCCUGUCAAUUUAUUGAGAGGAAGAAUUAGUUAGUAUGAUUUGUUGCAAUGUCGUUAUUCUACGCGGAUUAAGUGCUGCUGACCAGUCGAAAUUCUGAUAUGGCGAUGAUUGUGUAGUUCCGGUAUGCAUGCCCAAUCAAAACGUUAUUGUGACACCACGGGCCUAAUUUUGGCAGGGACAAGACGAAGACAGAGUCCAAGUUGCACUGAACUAAAUUCGCCCAACUGUGCGUCAGUUGCCUUUGACCGAUGAACAGAGUUCAGCUGGGCGAACUAUUCGUCCUGAUUUUCAGUAUUUAAACGAAGAACGCACACAGAAUGACUUCUUUCUGAAAGAAGGAUAGUCCUAGCGAUUCACCCCGGGCAUAAAAACCGAAGACCGAAAACCGAACCCGAAAAGACUGAGACCAAACCCGAAAAGACCGAACUAAAAAAGACCGAAUAAGAAACGGUCAGCACAAACUAAAGACCGAAUUUGUUACGGUCUGUUCGGUCCUGCUGUCUCAAUGACCGAAUAGCCCGUAAAGACCGAACUAGUAAAAGCCCAUACACAAGGGUUUACCAAAGGCCCAUCCGGCCAGCCCAAGUCAUCACCCGAUCUCACCCUCGGCUCUCCUCACGAUUCACGGGACAGCAACCUCCCGUUCCCCAUUCUCUCCCACGACAAACCCUAGCCGCCGGCCGCCGCUGUGGCCCGAUGCCACUCUCCCCGUGAGACCGUGAUGACGGCCGCACCAAGGUGCCGCACGCCCUGAUCGAUGAAUCCCGACGCCCCGAGCCGCCCUCAGGACCGGUGACGACCACGACCAGCAUCCAAGCCAUCAACCGCCGUGCCCCGUGCAUCACGCUAUGCGUCGCUCCAUUGCUUGUGACGCGGCCAUCCAUCCCCGACCACCAUCUAAGCUGGAGUUCUUCACCAUCUUGUCCUCUUCCAUGCUGGUCGCCGGCUGGCCGCCUACUGUCCUUUUCAGUGCUCCACCUCGCAUCUAAAGGUGAGCAAGCUACCUCAUCUCUCUAUGUGCAUCAGACUCAUUUGUGAUGUUCAUGUUCUGUACUGUCCAGAUUUUGUUCAGAUGUUCAUGUUCUUGGUGUACAAUUUUUGUGAUGGUUAAAACUCAGCAAGAAGGCAUGCUCCUCCGUCUUAGGAUUUCAUCAUUCCACAAAGCCACGUCCGCGUCAUUGCAUAGCGGAGGUCUGAGAUUCGUAUGCCCUUGAUUGCUGAGAUGUGGCCGGCGAUUGAGAACCUAGAAGAGUCCAUCAGCAUAUGUCGCCGAACGAUGGCUGGGCAGUUGUAGUCAUUGGCAGUGAGGAGCAUCGGUAAUGGCUGGCUGCUGCUGCACUCGACAUUGAUGUUCAGGUGGAUAUGCAAGUAUAAUGUACGCACAUGAUCAAUCUAUGUCCACAUCGUCAACAUUAUAAGCAUUAGUGGACCGUAUAUGCAUUUGCAUGAUUGAGCCAUCUCAGCUAAGCAAUGAAGCAAAAGUUCAUGUGCUCAUUGCUAAGCCGCUUGCAGACUUGAGUAUGAAAAGCAACUGAUCGUCAACUACCUGCAGAAUGUACUGCACCCGCGAGGAAUAUACUGGCCGUCUCGAUGUUUGGUAGCAGUCCAGGGCGGCUGCUGUUUCAGUUGGUAGUAGGGGUGCUGUCAGCAGUAUAUAUAGUGCUGAUUUUCUAUUUUAAGAUCUUCAUGUGAAUCUUGUUGCUGGUGAAGUGGUGAUUAUAUAUACUUCUGAUUUUCUUUUUAAGAUUUUCAUGUGUUGUACUGUUUUCCAUGCAGAUUGCAUACAAGUGUUACUUGUUUGAAUUUUUCUUAUUUACACAUGCGCCUCUAUACAAACAUUUGUUGUCUCUGUACACACACACCUUUGUACACAC
rnacentral:lncRNA from 1 species